GGAACGGGCCUUUCAGGCAUCCUCUCCUAAACUUUCAAGGGUCGGUCCUUCGGGGCCGGCCCUUUUUUCUUGCCCUC
rnacentral:sRNA from 1 species